UCCUCGGUAGCUCAAUUGGCAGAGCAUGCGGCUGUUAACCGCAGGGUUGAAGGUUCAAGUCCUUCCCGGGGAGCCU
rnacentral:tRNA from 2 species